GAGAGAGAGAGAGAGAGAGAGAGAACAUACCUGGAUCUGGAUUGAGAUCGAAUCAAUCAAGGAGACGAGUUUGAAAAUCUCACUCAAAUAUACCUGGAUCUGGAUCGAGAUCGAAUCAAGCAAGGAGACGAAUUUGAAAAUCUCACUCAAAUAUGAAGUUUGAUUUGUAACCCAGAGAGAGAAGAAAUCUGGAUCGGUAUCGAUAUUCGGAUAAAGAUUGAGAAUUUGAGAUCAUCAAGGCGAUGAAUCUAAAAUUUCCAUUCAAACAUGAACUUUGAAUUGUAGAUUUAAGUCUUUGAGGUAUGUUUUUCAGUAUUUUGAAUUUUUCAAUUCCAUUUCUAUUGAAAUUCACAAUGGGUUGUUUUGCAUGUGGAUUUUCUUGUUAAUUCAAAUUUACUUUUUAUUAUGUUCAUGGUGUUGUAAUCAAAUGCUAGCUGAUCUAUAUAAUAUGAUUGUUCUUUUUCUUAGGCUAAUACAUCUGAUUUUACUUAAUCGUUGGUGUUUAGUAUUUGGUGUUUAGGUUUUCACAAUUCUGUUUUCAUGAAGUUGUUGGUUAAUUCAAGUCUCUUCUUGCAAGGAUCCAGUGGCUGAUGUAGUUGUUUUGCUCCUAUUACACAGUUCGUUACCAUUACAUAUAGUGACGGUAAAGUUCUUAGGAUCGAAUUCUAGUUAUCUACUAAAUCCCUACUGACUCUCACUAGCAAUUAAUUAACAUAUUCCUACUGACCUACAAUAGGAUUAUUUUAUUCCUACUGAUCCUCAGUAGAAACUUUGUAUUUUUAUACCUACUGACCCUCAUUGGCAAUUAACAUAUUCCUACUGAUGUACAAUAGGAUUACCUUAUUCCUACUGAUCCUUAGUAGAAAUUUUCUAUAUUUAUACUAAUCUUCCGUAGGAACUAUUGGUUUUCAUAUUAACUCGUAGUUAAUUCCCUAUUUCAGUAGCAGGUACACAAUUGUCAAUUACCAACUUCGGACUGACUGUCAAUAGGAAACAAAUCCUUGCUACUGACAAUCAAUAGCAAUGAUACAUUACUCAAUGUGUCACUUUCAUUUAGUAGUAGUCACCCGAUUUCCACUCAUAAUGAGCAAGAAAUAUUCAAUUCCUCACUAAUUUUGUUAGCACUAACCCAAUUAUUAAUUGUUUGUUACAAUGAUUCAAUUAUACUGACUGUCAGUAGUAAGAACCAAAUUCCCUGUUGGUACUCAAUAGUGAUCAUCUAAUGAAUACUAAUAGGUCUAAAUAUUUUCCAUAUGAACUUCAUCUAUUCAGUAGAUUUAAUAGUUUAGUUCUCUCUUCAUACAUGUCUAUAGCCUCACUUUUAACAUGUAUUACUUAAUCAUUUAGAUAUACGAAAUAAAGUUGCACCAACAUAUAUACUGUAUCCCAGUAAGUUAAAGGGGUGUGAAAUUUGCACACCUAGUUUUGCAAACCGCACACCCUAUUAUUUUUUUAAUAAUAUUUCAUCUCACUCAAUUUUACACUUCCUAAUAUACCCUCAAAGUCAGAUUUUCCUUUUUCUUCUUUUGGCUCUCUCUCUCUCUCCCUCUAAAACCACGACUGCCCAUAGAUGAACAGUAAAUUUGUGGCUAGGUUCCUCUUGAAUCAUUGCCUGGAAACGUGUCUUUCUACCCAACAAGUUUCCUACCCCAUUGAAUCAUUGGGUAUUCUUCUAUUUAUACCCCCCAAACCACCAAGUACCAUCCCACUCUAAAUCUAACCCCUUCCACUCCCAGUCUCCAUCUUCCUCUAGUUUUGAGGUUUUGGUUUUCCCAUUUUAGAAGGGGCGCGCCAUGGUCAAGUUUGUUGCUACCUUGAUCCUGUCACUCCUUGCAAUCUCCAUGCUGGGUUCAAUCAUUUCAUCUAAUAAAUGAACAAAACAAGCCCAAGCUGGGUUCCUCUUUCUAGCUGCGAGGUUAAAGAACAGAGACCCAUUUGCAGAGCAUUGGAAGAAAUCCAACAGCCAUGAAAAGCGUUCUUUCUCAGGACCGUCUUUGCAGAUAUGCAAUUCACUCCAUUCAGAUGCAGGACCGUCUUCAGAUCACUCCGAGACCCCCUUUCUAGAAAAGCAUCUAAAUCAGAGACAAGUUUUGCAAAAUCUUCCUCACUUCUUGGCGUGGAAAUCGAGGAUCGGAGAUAUGCAAUUCACUGCAUCUAAAUGAGUGGACUCGAUUUAUGGAGUGAUAGCAUGCUCCGGCCCAACACUUGUGUUUUUUCUUUCCUCCAUCUGAAUGGAGUAAAUUCCUUCUCUUCCUCUAGCUCUCUUCUUCCAUUCUCAAAUUCUAAGGAAAAUCCACAAUUGCUAUCUAAACCCGAACACUCUACUCCAAGGCUAGCCCCGAAAUCCAAACUAGAAAUGAAGAAAGAAGGCAAAGAUUCGGCGCGCAGCAGGCAGCGACAGCGAAGAAACCGUUCGCGGUGGCCGGAGUCUAAGAAACUGACACUGAUGGCAGAACCCUUUAUGCUUCUUCUUUCUUGUUUGAUCUCUUCCCCUUUGCUUGUUUCUUUGCCCACAUAACCUUCUUGUGAUUAUGAUCAUCACCAUCCAUUGAUUUUGGAUUUUGGAUUUGAUGAGGGACAGAGGAAGAAUGGAUCUGAUAUUCUGAUGGCCGAGGAAGAAGAGAAGGAAUUCAGCUGUUUGUGUUGUUGGGGUUUUUGUGUGUUUGGGGAGAACACGUGUCGAUCUGCGUAAAAGCCACGUCGUGGUUGGUUAGGACGGGCUGACCAGGGCUGGUCAGUCAAGUAUUAUCCAAAAAAGAAGAAGGGUAUAUUAGGAAGUGUAAAAUUGAGUGAGAUGAAAUAUUAUUAAAAUAAUAAUAGGGUGUGCGAUUUGCAAAACUGGGUGUGCAAAUUUCACACCCCUAAGUUAAAUUAUAUACAAUAACAAUUGACAUGUUCAUGUUUGUUUAUUAUUUGUAGUUUACAACAUGCCUACCAAAAAAUGUUCAUUAAUUAUGGAUAACACAUGGAGAGUGCAAACAAAAAGGAGGAAGUAUAAACUCAAUGUCAAGAAGAGAGGCAAAGACCAAGAAUGUAGCAGAGGAGAAAUAUUGUGUUGUAGUACAAAAUUAAUCUCAAAAUUUACUUGUUAUUAAAGUUGAAUGUGUUUUUGGAAUGUCAAUCAAGUGUAACAUUGAGAAAGCUAAUGCAAAAUUGCAAGAUUUUUGAAUGUUACUGUUGGUCAAUAGUAUUGUAUAAUACUUGCCUCGGUUUUGAUGAAAAUGGUUUAGCCAAAUAUUU